GAUGAACGCUGGCGGCGUGCCCAAUACAUGCAAGUCGAGCGAACAGACGAGGAGCUUGCUCCUCUGACGUUAGCGGCGGACGGGUGAGUAACACGUGGAUAACCUACCUAUAAGACUGGGCUAACUUCGGGAAACCGGAGCUAAUACCGGAUAAUAUAUUGAACCGCAUGGUUCAAUAGUGAAAGACGGUUUUGCUGUCACUUAUAGAUGGAUCCGCGCCGCAUUAGCUAGUUGGUAAGGUAACGGCUUACCAAGGCAACGAUGCGUACCCGAACUGAGAGGGUGAUCGGCCACACUGGAACUGGGACACGGUCCAGACUCCUACGGGAGGCAGCAGUAGGGAAGCUUCCGCAAUGGGCGAAAGCCGGACGGAGCAACGCCGCGUGAGUGAUGAAGGUCUUCGGAUCGUAAAACUCUGUUAUUAGGGAAGUACAAAGGUGUAAGUAACUAUGCACGUCUUGACGGUACCUAAUCAGAAAGCCACGGCUAACUACGUGCCAGCAGCCGCGGUAA
rnacentral:rRNA from 1 species